GAAGACCAUAUAGCAGUUAGACUGUGUUUAAACAAGGCCUUGUCUACGUUUUAGUCCCUCUUAUAAGAUCCCUUUUCUAAGUUUUAGGAAAACCAUAUAGCAGUUAGACCAUGUAUAAACAUGGCCUUGUGUUUAGGCGGAUGGAUUUGAAAUUGUGAGUUUUGAAUAGAACAAGACACGAUUUUCUUUUAUUAAAUAGAUAGAUGAAACUAUGUUAAAUCUCAAAUACAAAUAAAAACCUUAUUUGAUUACAGAUUAGAGAUAUCUAUUGAAAAUCUCAUUUCAAUUUUCAAUUCUACCUCAAAUAUGAUAUCAAUAAUAUUCAUGAAUUUAAUUAAUUAAAGAGUAUGUUAACUUUCAUCCAACAAUUUCAACUAAAAUCAAAUGUAAAUCACUUAUUUGAAAACAUUACAUCCAAAUGUAACACAAAUGGAUUUACUUCUACGUCUACUAGAUAUCAUACAUACGGCAACAUAUAAGGAACUGGCAGCAUGUACAAAUAACCCCAACAACUAAUAGAAAGUCACUACUAUUAUUAGAAUCCAAUACAUAUCCAAUUUGCACAGCCAUACAUAAAGUCCUCAAUAACCAAAGAAAGGACUACAACAAGGGGCAUAAAAAAAUAAUAAUUAACCAUAGAAAUGUUAUCAUUUGAAAUGCUAACAGAACACCCAGCAAAACCAGAAGCAACAUGCGUACCUUUAGCCGGAGCCAUUGAUUAAAACUCUCCCUAUAAGCACAACUAAACCUGCUUAGAUCUAGGCUAACUUCAAUUCACUUCAAGCUAGCAAUAUAAGUUUAAAAAAGCUUUGGAUAAAGAUUAUAGAGGGAGCAGAGAGUAGUGGGUAACAGAUGAAUUAAGGAGCACAAACGAAAAUGAUUAACAGGGAAAGAUUACAGACCUGACC
rnacentral:misc_RNA from 1 species